GUGCUCACUUCGGCCGCACAUACACUAAAAAAAAUUGGAAUACAGAGAAGAUUAGUAUGGCUCCUCCACAAAGAUGACACACAAAUUCAUGGAGUGUUCAAAGAUUCA
ensembl:snRNA U6 U6 spliceosomal RNA